UAACUUUAACCACCAGAAGAGAAAGGAGGAGAGAGUGGGAUGUCAGAGAAAGGAGGAAGGGAGCGCUACGCUGCCGUGCUGGAGAAGAAAAUGGAUGCCUGGUAAUCGUUUUCUUCAUCCUUUCUCUGUCAUCUAUAUUAUUUUAGCUUGUUUAAUCUCUAAAUGCUUAUUGUGUGGAGGUUAACCGAGAAUGAAUCCAACCUUUGAAUCACCAUGAAGCCUGACCAUUUCUCCAUUCAGAGAGGAACCCCAUGGAAGUUGGACUCUUGUGAAAUAAUUACCUGCGAGUCCACUGCAGUACGAGGUCGUGCUCAUGCAACACAAUGGACGUGCACACACAGGCGUAUACCCGUGUGUACAAAAUGCGCGCAAGAAGAGGGAGAAUCCUUUUCCCACAGGGAUUCCCGCAUUUCUCAGGCCAAAUAAGCAAAUUGUUCCAACAUCGUUUUGUUUCUUAAAUGGGAUCGAUUUAAACAAGAAAGUAAAAUUUAAUUUCCUAAACAGAAAUGCCCAAAAUAGGAAAGAUUAUUCCAAGGAAUGGGCCAUGUUUGUCCAACAGAAGCUUAAGGACCAAGUGAGAUUAAUGGGCAUGAAGAAUUGUAAGGAAGUCCAAGUGCUAGCCUAAUCUUAGAGAGGAGCAAGACUUGAUCCAAGUCAAAGAAGCCCAUUGGGCAUGCCCAUGAAGGUCCACAUGUGCUGGGUGAGCAGCCUGCGACUUAGCCAUCCCGCUUGCGCUUGCACACCGCAAGGAUGUGCAGCCCGUGAGCAUGUGCGGAGAUGCCCAAGCGCAUGCCUAGGAUGAAAUUGUGCACGCAAGAGGAGAUGUUGUGAGCCACGAGCACGCGACCCUCAAUCUGUGCACCUGCGACCCAUGACUCGCGUGGCCAUUGCUAGCUACCCACACGGGCAGCUUCAAAUUAAGGCCUUUUAGACUUCUUCUCUUUUUUUCCAAGUCUCCAAGGAUUUAAGUCCUCCAAAAAUUAUCUAUGUGAUUUAAAUGCCAAAAUUGGAAGAGAAAUUCCACUUAAAAUUGAAGUACAAGAAAAAUUAAGGUAUUUAAAGAUUUAGAUAAAGAGAGAAAAAUAUUUAAGAUCUAAUUAGACUAUCUUAAUAUUUAUUUUUAUUAUUUUAGAUUAUCUUAGGAUAAGAUUCAUUUAUUUAAUUAUUUAUGUAUUUAUUCUCUAAUUAUAUUUUAGAUCCUAAAAUUUGGAUAGGAAUCCUAAAUCCUAUUCCAAGUAGAAAUAGAAAAUAAAAGCCUAUAUAAAGGCUUAAGUUCAAGUUUUGUAAUCACAAUUCAAUUUAUCAAUAAAAUUAAAGUUUUGAGCCUUCUUCUAGAUUUAACUUUUGCUAAUUUUAGCAUCUUCAAGUUCUUUUAAGAUAGGGAGCUUUUUGAAAUCUGGUUGAGUCGAGAAGUUGGGAUCAAUUUAUCGAGUAAGCUACCACGUGUUUCUUUUCCUUGUUUUAAAUUUUCUAGUUUUUUGUUUUUGCAUGCCAUAUAAAUAGUUGUAGAUUAAAAUAGAGGGAGAGGUUAAUUAGGCAAUUAAGUUUCUGAAUUGCAUGCACUGAGUUGUGGUUUCAGGAAUUAAAACGAUCAUUCCCACACCCUCUCACGAAAAAAAUAGAUAAAAUAUGUUAAAGAAAAACAAUGAAAUAGAAAUUAGUACUUUAAGAAUAAUAAUAAAUUACUUGGUCAAAAGAAUUAAGAUUAGGAGUAAAUUGAAUAAAAGAAUUUAUGUGUAAAAUUAAAAUAAAAUGAGAAGAAACUAGUAUCCAAGAAAUUAUGUAAUUAAUCAAAUAAAUAAACCUAGAAAAUUAAAUUGGAUGAAUGUUUUAAUAACUAGAAUAGUCAUAGCAACGAGAUGUGCAUGCAAUAGGAUUGCAUGAAACUCUUGGGUUCAUCGCUGACCCAAGAAGUCUUAAUUACUGUGUAAAUUUUCUACUAAUUUUGGGGUGAUGUUUGGAGCUCAAAUCAGAAUCCUUUUACUCAAAAGUCUAUAAGUAUAAUUAGUAAUCAACCCAAAUCAUUCAUAUCAUUAUUUUUAAAAUGUUUCAUUAAAAUUUUAUGAAAUGAUAUGCAUGCAAACAAGUGAAGAUAAGGUUAUUUGAAAAACUAGCUCUGGAUACUACCCAAACAGCUGAAACUGCUCGGAUAGGUUUAAAAGUUGUCUUUUUUAGAGAGACAAAAAGAGGUAAAUUAGGAAUUUUAAUUACUAUGUUCAUCAUUGAUUUCUAAUAAAAGAAAAAGAAUUUACAUCUUUAAAUGACUAUAUGUUGUAUACUGAAUGUUUACGAUGUAGUUUACUUUUUAUACUUACUGAACACGUGGAAAGCUCAUCCAAAUAUAUCAUUAACUUAUUCAGAUAAAAUAGAUCUAGAGGGAGAAUCGGAUCAAUGAUAAUUAGUAGUUGUAUCCAAGGUAGAAUUUAAUAUUCUUUAUUGAACUGGUAAUAUUAUAUAGUUUUGACCCUAUAUUUUAGACCUCACUUCAUUGUAAAUAUUAUUACAAUAUGUUCAAGGGACGAAUAUUUUAAUCAUUAAUAUAUUAUAUGUGCGUUGUUAUUGGUUAAUUCCUUGAAUUAGUCAGUAGUUGUUAACUGUAAUCUCUUGGUGGGGGAAUAGGGGUGUCACACUAAAUUUUUCUGAAUACUAUUUUUCUUACAACAUACACAAUUUUGACUGAAAAUUCUGUAUAGUGUUAUAGUAAAUUACUUCUCGAGUUAUAAUAGCCACUUAAGACAAUAUUCUUUAGUUAUAUAGAGGUAAUUCUUCGAAUCAUGUCUGUUGACACAUAGAUAAAUAUUUUCAUGAAGUAUUUUACUUUUAUAUUUCCUCUAAUAUAUAAAUCUCAUUUUAAAAAUAAUUCUAAGAAUUAUUUUUCACAAAUCUACUCUCUUUAAAAAUAAU